CAGUAGCCGCGGUAAAACGGAGGGUGCAAGCGUUAAUCGGAAUUACUGGGCGUAAAGCGCAUGCAGGCGGUCUGACAAGUCAGAUGUGAAAUCCCCGGGCUUAACCUGGGAACUGCAUUUGAAACUGUCAGGCUGGAGUCUUGUAGAGGGGGGUAGAAUUCCAGGUGUAGCGGUGAAAUGCGUAGAGAUCUGGAGGAAUACCGGUGGCGAAGGCGGCCCCCUGGACAAAGACUGACGCUCAGGUGCGAAAGCGUGGGGAGCAAACAGGAUUAGAUACCCCAGUAGUCCCUGUCUCUUAUAC
rnacentral:rRNA from 1 species